rnacentral:rRNA from 1 species
GAUGAACGCUGGCGGCGUGCCUAAUACAUGCAAGUAGAACGCUGAAGGAGGAGCUUGCUCUUCUGGAUGAGUUGCGAACGGGUGAGUAACGCGUAGGUAACCUGCCUGGUAGCGGGGGAUAACUAUUGGAAACGAUAGCUAAUACCGCAUGACAACAGUUAUUGCAUGAUAACUGUUUAAAAGGGGCAACUGCUCCACUACCAGAUGGACCUGCGUUGUAUUAGCUAGUUGGUGAGGUAACGGCUCACCAAGGCGACGAUACAUAGCCGACCUGAGAGGGUGAUCGGCCACACUGGGACUGAGACACGGCCCAGACUCCUACGGGAGGCAGCAGUAGGGAAUCUUCGGCAAUGACGGAAGUCUGACCGAGCAACGCCGCGUGAGUGAAGAAGGUUUUCGGAUCGUAAAGCUCUGUUGUAAGAGAAGAACGAGUGUGAGAGUGGAAAGUUCACACUGUGACGGUAUCUUACCAGAAAGGGACGGCUAACUACGUG